rnacentral:rRNA from 1 species
UACGUAGGUGGCAAGCGUUGUCCGGAAUUACUGGGCGUAAAGGGCGAGUAGGCGGUUACCCAAGUCAGGUGUGAAAACUCCCGGCUCAACCGGGAGAUUGCAGUUGAUACUGAGUAACUUGAGUGCAGGAGAGGGCAGUGGAAUUCCUAGUGUAGCGGUGAAAUGCGUAGAUAUUAGGAGGAACACCAGUGGCGAAGGCGGCUGCCUGGACUGUAACUGACGCUGAGGCGCGAAAGCGUGGGGAGCAAACAGGAUUAGAUACCCCCGUAGUCCG